rfam:Schistosoma mansoni strain Puerto Rico chromosome 4, complete genome
AUCCAGUUGACGAGUCCCGAAUAGUACGAAACGCGUGUCCUGGAU